AUUGAACGCUGGCGGCAGGCUUAACACAUGCAAGUCGAGCGGGGGAAGGUAGCUUGCUACCGGACCUAGCGGCGGACGGGUGAGUAAUGCUUAGGAAUCUGCCUAUUAGUGGGGGACAACAUCUCGAAAGGGAUGCUAAUACGGCAUACGUCCUACGGGAGAAAGCAGGGGAUCUUCGGACCUUGCGCUAAUAGAUGAGCCUAAGUCGGAUUAGCUAGUUGGUGGGGUAAAGGCCUACCAAGGCGACGAUCUGUAGCGGGUCUGAGAGGAUGAUCCGCCACACUGGGACUGGGACACGGCCCAGACUCCUACGGGAGGCAGCAGUGGGGAAUAUUGGACAAUGGGGGGAACCCUGAUCCAGCCAUGCCGCGUGUGUGAAGAAGGCCUUAUGGUUGUAAAGCACUUUAAGCGAGGAGGAGGCUACUCUAGUUAAUACCUAGGGAUAGUGGACGUUACUCGCAGAAUAAGCACCGGCUAACUCUGUGCCAGCCGCCGCAGUAACAC
rnacentral:rRNA from 1 species